GACGGAGGGUGCUAGCGUUGUUCGGAAUGACUGGGCGUAAAGGGCGCGUAGGCGGCUCGUGAAGUCGGGUGUGAAAGCCCGGGGCUCAACCCCGGAACGGCAUCCGAUACUGGCGGGCUUGAGACCGGGAGAGGAGGGUGGAAUACCCAGUGUAGAGGUGAAAUUCGUAGAUAUUGGGAAGAACACCGGUGGCGAAGGCGGCUAUCUGGACCGACAUUGACGCUGAGGCGCGAAAGCGUGGGGAGCAAACAGG
rnacentral:rRNA from 1 species